GUUUCAAUCCCAGAUUGGUUCGAUUAAAAC
rnacentral:other from 24 species